GAUGAACGCUAGCUACAGGCUUAACACAUGCAAGUCGAGGGGCAGCAUGAAGUUUGCUUGCAAACUUUGAUGGCGACCGGCGGACGGGUGAGUAACGCGUGGGUAACCUGCCUCAUACUGGGGGAUAGCAGUUGGAAACGACUGAUAAUACCGCAUAAGCGCACAGCACCGCAUGGUGCAGUGUGAAAAACUCCGGUGGUAUGAGAUGGACCCGCGUCUGAUUAGCUAGUUGGCGAGGUAACGGCCCACCAAGGCAACGAUCAGUAGCCGGCCUGAGAGGGUGUACGGCCACAUUGGGACUGAGACACGGCCCAAACUCC
rnacentral:rRNA from 1 species